AUGGGAGUGGAAAGGAUGUUUCCUGCAGGAAAAUUAAAUUUCCAGUCUGCAAAGACAUUAGGAUUUCUUUUCAAGACUAACAUUCCCCAAAAAAGUGGUAUUUCAACAUACAACCGCCAGGAUAAAGUGAGAAAAAAGAAAUUUUCCUGCUCUGAGUGCUUUAGGGAUGCUAUACAUACACAUAAAAAGAAGGAAAUAUUUUUUAAUAUUUUUUUCCUGUUUAUUUUUCUUUUUCUCCUUCUUUCCUUUCCAGAGGAGCGUGAUAGAAAAAUAACCAAGCUCUCAGCAGAAAUACGUAGGCUCACAGCUCUGCUUGGGGACCGAGACAAACAGCUUCGUAAGUGCCGUUCUCCUCCUGACGAAUAAAAUUUGGGUAUAAAGGUGGAUCUUCCUUAACUUUCUGGUGUGUCUUCUAAAGUCUGCCUUUCCUCCCUGACACCAGUUUGCUCAAAUUCUGUGUUUCUGUGCUCAAAAUCUUACGUCACUCUUAACUGGAUGAACUGGUUGAAACCACCCAAAUCAGUGGUUUUCCUCAUAGUUUUCUAUUCUGUUAGACUAUAUUUUUUUAUUACAUAUUUUUAUUAUACAUUAUGUCAUUCUUUUCUAAAACGACAUGUAAGAUUAAGCCAGAGAAUUACUUACAAUGACUCCACGUAGGAGAAAAAAGGAUCUAUU
rnacentral:lncRNA from 1 species